rnacentral:rRNA from 2 species
GCAUAUCAAUAAGCGGAGGAAAAGAAACCAACAGGGAUUGCCCUAGUAACGGCGAGUGAAGCGGCAACAGCUCAAAUUUGAAAUCUGGCUCUUUUAGGGUCCGAGUUGUAAUUUGCAGAGGGUGCUUUGGUGUUGGCAGCGGUCCAAGUUCUUUGGAACAGGACGUCACAGAGGGUGAGAAUCCCGUACGUGGUCGCUAGCCCUCGCCGUGUAAAGCCCCUUCGACGAGUCGAGUUGUUUGGGAAUGCAGCUCUAAAUGGGAGGUAAAUUUCUUCUAAAGCUAAAUACUGGCCAGAGACCGAUAGCGCACAAGUAGAGUGAUCGAAAGAUGAAAAGCACUUUGGAAAGAGAGUCAAAUAGCACGUGAAAUUGUUGAAAGGGAAGCGCUUGCAGCCAGACUUGCCUGUAGUUGCUUAUCCGGACUUUUGUCCGGUGCACUCUUCUGCGGGCAGGCCAGCAUCAGUUUAGGCGGUUGGAUAAAGGUCUCUGUCAUGUACCUCUCUUCGGGGAGGCCUUAUAGGGGAGACGACAUGCAACCAGCCUGGACUGAGGUCCGCGCAUCUGCUAGGAUGCUGGCGUAAUGGCUGUAAGCGGCCCGUCUUGAAACACGGACCAAGGAGUCUAACAUCUAUGCGAGUGUUUGGGUGUCAAGCCCAGACGCGUAAUGAAAGUGAACGGAGGUGGGAACCCUUACGGGUGCACCAUCGACCGAUCCUGAUGUCUUCGGAUGGAUUUGAGUAAGAGCAUGGCUGUUGGGACCCGAAAGAUGGUGAACUAUGCUUGAAUAGGGUGAAGCCAGAGGAAACUCUGGUGGAGGCUCGCAGCGGUUCUGACGUGCAAAUCGAUCGUCAAAUUUGGGCAUAGGGGCGAAAGACUAAUCGAACUAUCUAGUAGCUGGUUCCUGCCGA